GACCCGACUGCUAUUUGGGUGGGAAUAAGCCAUGCGAGUUGAAUGGGAUACCUAAAGNUUCCCAUAGCAAACUGCUCAGUAACACAUGAUCAACUUACCCUAUAGAGAAAAAUAACCUCGGGAAACUGAGGAUAAUGUUUCAUAAUUGAAUUGGCUUGGAAAAGUUUUUCAAUGAAAGGGAUAAAAAAAAUGGUUUUUAUCCGCUAUAGGAUAGGAUCGUGUUCGAUUAUGGUUGUUGGUGAGAUAAUGGCUCACCAAGCCGAUAAUCGAUAGGGGCCGUGAGAGCGGGAGCCCCGAGAAGGGUACUGAGACAACGACCCAGGCCUUACGAGGCGCAGCAGGCGCGGAACCUCCGCAAUACACGAAAGUGUGACGGGGUUACCCAAAGUGUUCAAUAGAACUGUGGUAGGUGAGUAAUGUCCCCUACUAGAAAGGAGAGGGCAAGGCUGGUGCCAGCCGCCGCGGUAAAACCAGCUCUUCAAGUGGUCGGGAUAAUUAUUGGGCUUAAAGUGUCCGUAGCCGGUUUAGUAAGUUCCUGGUAAAAUCGGGUAGCUUAACUAUCUGCACGCUAGGAAUACUGCUAUACUAGAGGGCGGGAGAGGUCUGAGGUACUACAGGGGUAGGGGUGAAAUCUUAUAAUCCUUGUAGGACCACCAGUGGCGAAGGCGUCAGACUGGAACGCGCCUGACGGUGAGGGACGAAAGCCAGGGGAGCGAACCGGAUUAGAUACCCGGGUAGUCCUGGCCGUAAACGAUGCAUACUAGGUGAUGGUACGGCCAUGAGCCGUAUCAGUGCCGUAGGGAAACCGUUAAGUGUGCCGCCUGGGAAGUACGGUCGCAAGGCUAAAACUUAA
rnacentral:rRNA from 1 species